AUGGCGCACCGGGUGGACAAUGAGUACGACUACCUCUUCAAGAUCGUGCUCAUCGGCGACUCCGGCGUCGGCAAGUCCAACAUCCUCUCCCGCUUCACCCGCAACGAGUUCUGCCUCGAGUCCAAGUCCACCAUCGGCGUCGAGUUCGCCACCCGAACCCUCCAGAUAGAAGGAAAGACUGUGAAGGCACAGAUAUGGGACACGGCUGGUCAGGAGAGAUACCGUGCAAUUACUAGUGCAUAUUACAGGGGUGCUGUUGGAGCACUCCUAGUCUUUGACAUAACAAAGAGGCAGACCUUCGACAAUGUUCAGAGGUGGCUCCGUGAGCUCCGGGAUCAUGCAGAUGCCAACAUUGUUGUCAUGAUGGUUGGGAACAAGUCAGACUUAAACCACUUAAGAUCGGUUCCCGAGGAAGACAGCCAAGCAUUCUCUGAGAAAGAAGGUCUGUCGUUCCUUGAGACAUCUGCACUGGAGGCAAUCAAUGUGGAGAAGGCAUUCCAUACUGUGCUGAGUGAAAUUCACCAGAUUGUAAGCAAAAAAGCACUUGCAGCACAGGAGUCUGCUGCUGCCAACGGCCGUUCGAUGCAAGGAACGACUAUUAACGUUGCUGAACCAUCCGCCAACGCAAAAGGUUCUUGCUGUUCCUCCAGUUGA
rnacentral:rRNA from 1 species